UACUAAAGUAAAAUCCUCUAUUCUUCAUGUUUUCAAUAAAAUUGCUUAUAUUCUUUUUUGACCGCCAACACAAAUCUCAUUACGGGUACUGUAGUCUAUGAUAAUUCGAUCAAGAAUUCCUCAAGUAGCCUGGACACAUUUAUGAUGUUGGUUAUUCUACUAAGAUUCAAAGCUGAAAUAAGCAAAUAUCCCCUUUCUAUAUUAUUUUCAAUAUUAUUAUAGAUGGUAGCCUACCUAUAUCAUUUAGUUUUCUUUAGUUCAUGGUUAGCAUACAGUAUUUGAAUUUGCCGGUUGAUAACUUGAAUUUGAAUUUGCCGGUUAAGCCAACUUGAUAAUAGUGUUUCAAAAAUUUCAAAAUAAAGAAGAAUGAAGAGUUAAUCUACCAAUGAAUGUUUUUUUCAAUCUGAAUAGACUCAUCAAUGAUUGAUUUGAACAAUUUUUCAUUAUAAAAUAUAAAUAUAUUUCAUUUGAAAUUACAAAACAAAUCAAGCUGGCCAUGUUGUCAGCAUUCCAAGUUCAGCUUAUCAGGUAAACAUUCCAAAUUCCACUUCUAUGGUUAGGUAAAUUGAUGUGAUAUCGGCUUCAAAGUUAUAAUGUGUUUUGAAAAUAAUAAGAUAACAAUAGCAAUUGCUUUCCUGCAUAUCAACCUUACUACUGCCUAUAUUGUACCUUAUAUUUUCAAUUUUCUGUGGUGAAUGAAUGACUCAAGUUAAUGAAGCUAAUGGAAUAUCAAAAAUCUACCAAAAAUAAAAGUGCCAGUUAUGUCUGCCUGUCACCUCAUAGAAAGCUUUCCGGAAGACACAAUUCCUUGGUGAAUCUAUUUUACUGCAUCAUAAAAGCAGAAGAAGGAGGUGAAAAUCAACUUGUUUAGCUGUGGUACAAGCUAUCAAAUCCAUGAAUCCAGGAACCUAUUCAAUUAUCAAGAACUUCUCUGUCAUAGUAUGGUCGGACCCAUUCACCAAGGAAGGUCACAGUUAUCAAAGCAUCCAUUCUACUCCUAUUAUAAAUCUCAACAGAAGUAAAUAAUGAUGAUCUCUACUCAAUUCCUGUAUCUACUAAUUCUUCAACUUCUUUAGAAAUGUUCUGAACAAAGCUCAGGCUAGAGUUACCAGAGGACUGUAAUUUACUAUUCAAAUAAUCAAAUACAAACAAGGGGAAAAAUUUAAUCUUCAAUUUGAGCCAGGUUAUUUGUACAG